UUUAGCUGUCUCCAAUGUUAGCCGCCCGGUACAUUAUUUAGUUACACCUCUAUAGGCGAGGGCGGACCUACGUCACUUCCGCUACCAAUCCCCUAGCAACCGGUCGCCAUAUUGAAUUCGUUGUAAACAAACCAGCUCACAGCGAACACAGCAUUGACAGAAAAAGCAUUUAACGAGGUUUCACGGCAUUUUAAACUGUUCUAAAUGGCGUAUGAUUAUGUAAAUAGUCUUUCCAGUGAGGCUAGGUUAAGAUACGAGUUAAAAUGUUCUGUAGUUGGAUUAAACGACUGCCCUUACCGCCUUCCAGCAGAUGCGUGGACUGAUAAUCCUACACAAUGGCCGGACAUGGAAUUUGGAAAUCUAUAUGUCUACCUCACAAGCGCACCAGUGGUUUAGUACAGGAGCAGCUCUUGCAGUCUGCAUGGAAUAGCGACGCUGGAAUUCUUCUAACCCUGGAAGUUGGACAAUACCAUCAGUGAUGAAAACCGAGAGGCGAUACAGAGGAUGCUACUGGAGGAGCAGUAUCCUUUCUUCCCAUUGAUUGAGACUUUUAUUAGUAGUGUAGGAGCCAAAUAGAGGCCAUACUUGAAUCCAUGUUUAUUUUAUUAUUUUUCAGUGAUUGAUUUGUGUAUGUCAGUGUGCACCCUUUGCAGGUGGUGAAAAGUUCCCACGCAGGCCUAUAAGGGGCAGGAGUGCGCUGGGCGCGUGAUUGACAGUCGGGCACCAGCAUACCGUCUUUGACCUCGCCUGUCUGUAGACCUCAGCUUUAUAUAAGCUACCAUUUAUUUUGUUUCCCGAGUAUUCUGUUACUUGAUUAUUGUAAAUAAAACAAUCUUCAAUUGC